rnacentral:lncRNA from 1 species
GACUCGAAUCUCAGACCCGAAAACUGCUCUCUGACUUUUCUUUGUGUUCCUCUUGGAGUCGACUCUUACUACCCUGGAGUCGACUCGUUGAACAUUGGAGUCGACUCGCGCACUUCGGGAGUCGACUCGUUGACAGGUUCUGAGAUGAGGCUUUCUGUUCUUCUUUCUGUUCUCAGUCGGAGUCGACUCGUACAAAUCUGGAGUCGACUCGAGCUCGUGCCAGUGAACUUGAUACGCUUGGAGUCGACUCGUGAUACUCUGGAGUCGACUCGAGUCUCAGACAUUGGUUUAUGCAGACUUCUUAACUUAUCCAAAAUACUAUGAACCAAGUCUAGAGACACUUGGACAGGAUUUUCACUGAAACACUCAAUUGAAUUCAUUAGUAAUCACAAGAUAUACUCAAAUGCUUUGAGCUCAUCAAAAUCAAAUGGGGUUUUAAUCAAUCACUCCACA